rnacentral:pre_miRNA from 1 species
GGCCCAAAAUCGAAGUAAGGUGGAUUGGAAGGAUCAUCUGACCCUACUAGAAUACUCUACUUCGAGUUUGUGCCA